CCUCUCUUAAUUUGCAGAUGGCCACUAUAUCACUCCCCUAUCUCUGUGUCCUCACUAGACCUUUCUUCUGUGUGUGUGGACUUCUACUGUCUCUUUUCUUAUAAGGAUACUACUCCUAUUGGAUUAGGUCUUCACCCUCAUGAACUCAUUUAACCUUUAUUAUAUAUUUUUAAUUUUUUUUAGUAUGAAAUUAGUUUUUAUUUUUACCUCAAAAUAAAUGCAUAACAUUUUUCCAAAACUGAACUAAACGUGAACACUUAGAAGGGUGGAAGGAAUAGUCCCUCCACCCCUACUUCCCCCCACCCCCCAGGAAGCCAGUGAGUAAGGCAGACAUUGUGAUGCGCAGGGUUCUUCCUGCAGGACUAGUCUAGAACCCCCUUCCUCUCUUACUGUCAGUCGUCCCCACCAGGGUGCUGGCCGCAGGGGGACCCCACCCAUGCCCGACUCCCAGACCCAUACAAACAAGGGAUUUGAAAAGUGGGCAAACAUCGCUUAACACCUUCCCACGCUUUUCCUCCAGAGAAAAGGUCACUCUGCCCUACUGGAUUGAAGGACUUUUGAGAUGCAAAAUUCAAGAUUGGGAAGGAUGGAAAUAAAAGAAAAACUAAUUAACUGGAGUCAUUUAAAACAGAGGUGAUGGAGAGGAAGGGAAAGCAGUUGAGAAAAAGGGAAGAAAAUAUUGAAUAUAGUUUGUCUAUCUGUUGCAAAGUGCUGGGCAGAUUUAAUGAUACCCCGAAGCUAAGAAUUUGUUCCAAAGCCAGAGACAAUUUAUGGGCUGGCCUGUGGUCUAGGAAGUAAUCAGCUCAACAUAAUCAGAGUACUCUACGGGGAUGAGCAAAUACAACCCUUGACUGAGAACUAUUCUUAUGUGAGACUGGCAGAAUUUCAGGAGCUAACCAGGUGGGCGUAAGCACUUAUUUAUUGAGUAUGUUUUAUGUUCUAGGCACUAUUCCAGGCAGUGUGGCAAUAGACAAGAUAAGCUGUGGCUUUGCUCUCCUGGAGGUAACAUUGUAGCACAAAAGAUAGAUUCUAAAAAAGUAAGUAUGCUGAUUUCAACAUAACUUACAUAGUGAUAAGUGAUACCUAAAAAAUAAAACAGCUUGGGCGAGCAUGGGUGGCUCAGUUGGUUAAGCAUCUGACUUUAGCUCAGGUCAUGAUCUCAGAGUUCUGGGAUCCAGCCCUGCUCAGCUGCUUCUCCCUAUCCUUCUCCUUUUGCCCCUCACACGUAUACAUGAGAAAGUGUGCAAGAAUGUGUAUUGCGGUAUUGUUCAAAGUAUCUAAAUCUGUUAGCAACUGAGCUAUCCUUCUUUAGGGAAAUGAUUGGACAAAGAUAGAUAAAAAUCUCUUACAACAAAAUAAAG
rnacentral:lncRNA from 1 species